AAACAGCCCGCUUGCUUUGGAGUUCAUGCAGCCAAACAAGUUCGCUAGUUGCGAGAUGAAUCUGGAAACCUGUUGUGCUUUUUAGAGGCGUUUCUGACCCCGAGAAACUUCCAAAGAACUUUCCACAGAACUACUGAAAGGUUUGUUAUUGAUAUUAUGACCCCAUUAGUUCACAACUCAAAAGUAUAUUUAUUUAGCUGCAUUGUGUCGGUCUUUAUGUAAUAAAUACACUAUGUUUAUAACUGUACUCAUGUCCACCACUUUCUGUAAAGGUAUCCAUCACAAAGGAACUGAAGUCUCUGAUGUAUGCAAAUCUUUUUGGGCACUGGCUUCACUUACAAUGAAGUACCAUGGAUAAGGUGUUUGUUCUGUAAACUGUUAAGACCAGCUCAACUCAUACAUACCUUGAGGAUGUAAGAAGAUCUUUUCGAAGUGUCUUCUCUUUAUCACCACCCAAUGGUGAGUAUGCAAACCUACAAGACACUGCUGCAUUGUGUUCUCACUACAUAUUAAAACAUACAGCCAUAUACUCUCAAAAAAGUUAGAAAUACAUCUUAGAAUAAUGAACGGGAUCCAGAGGUUUUUUUCAGCUUCAUAAUCCGAAAGAUAUUGCUUACCCAUAGCCAUAUGAGAUCAUAUUAAUUUACUAAGUCAACAAAUGCAAUGAAAGCAGGACCGUUAAACCCAUUCAUGCUGCUGGCACAAGAGAACUGCACGGAAUGCGGUAGAAAGCAGUAACUGUUAGAU
rnacentral:lncRNA from 1 species